UUGCAAAAACCAAAACUUUUUUCUUAUCAUUACUCCACAAACAAUAUAAUAACUAUUUGCAUAACAUUUACAUCAUGUUAAAUAUUAUAAGUAAUCUAGAGAUAAUAUAAAAUAUAAUGGAAGAUGUGCAUAAGUUAUAUGCAAAUACCAUGCCAUUUUAUAUAAGGGACUUGAACAUCUGAGGAUUUUGUAUAUGUAUGAAAUCUUGAAACUAAUCCCCCCUGGAUAUUGAGAACUGACUGUAUGUUGUAUGGUAAUCAAUUAUUAUAUUGUUAAUUCUUUGAUGCUUCUACAUUUGUAUUCUUCAAAUAGUAUAAUUCUUUUUAAAUAUUUUGAUACCAUUUUAUUCCUAUCAGGAAUUACAAAAUUUUAUGAUUUAAAUUUGUUUUACUAAAUCUGAAUAAAGCAAAAUACAUAAUCAAAAUUAGAAAAUCCAUCCUUAAGUCUAUAUUUUAAUAUGUAGUGUUUUUGUGAGUCCCCAGAGACCCACCCACAGCAACAAUUUAUUGUUUUAAAAGACAAUUUUUGGAUCUCAGAUGUGAGUAAAUUUUAAUCAAAAUGUGUACUUAAAUUUAUUUCAAAAACCAUAAAAUUUCUGCCACAUUUGGCAAAACAGAUAUCAAAAGGAAAUAAAC
rnacentral:lncRNA from 1 species